AUGAGGGUUAUUAAAAUGGGAAUGGGGUGAGAAUCCCCAACUGUCCCGCAGCGGUGUGUUGCACACAACAGCUUGCCACUCUGAUUAUGAAAAGCCACUGGGCACUUUGUCCUGGGAAGGCUGAUGGCAAGAGCAACGAGUCCGAAGACCUGCCUCUGAAUCU
rnacentral:ncRNA from 1 species